rnacentral:rRNA from 1 species
UACAGAGACUGCAAGCGUUAUUCGGAUUCACUGGGCGUAAAGGGUGCGCAGGCGGUCGGGUGUGUCAGAUGUGAAAUCCCGAGGCUCAACCUCGGAACUGCGUCUGAAACUACUCGACUAGAGUACUGGAGAGGGUAACGGAAUUCACGGUGUAGCAGUGAAAUGCGUAGAUAUCGUGAGGAACACCAGAGGCGAAGGCGGUUACCUGGACAGUUACUGACGCUGAGACACGAAAGCCAGGGGAGCGAACGGG